UCAACUCAAGAACCAUCUCCCCUGUUAAGUCUCUCCCUGGUGCUCAGUCUCCACACCAAACAGAGUUGGGAUCUUUGUACAUCUAUCUGCUACACACAUAUCUGCCACCUAUCAAACUGCACUAUAAUUAUCUUCUCUAUUUUAAUGAGGAGAUCGGACUGCUGAAUAUUAACAAUUCGAGAGAAACUUUCACAUUUAGCUUUGCAUUUAUAUUUACUUAUGAUACUUUAAAGAAAAUUCAGAAUGGAGAAGCAAAUAUACUUCUGUUUAUGUUAAGGGCCUAGACUGUGGGGUAAAAUAAGAGGCAUGAAGUUAAUGUCUUCUCAGCAUCCAAAAUGUUCUAAUAUCACCAAAUGGAAUUCAGAAAAAAGUUCUCUCAAACAGCCAGCCUUUAGGUGGUUGCAUAUGGGACAAGCACGUGUUCUUCUGACUCUACCUAAUUUGUAAAAGAUACACAUCCUUAAGAAUUCUGAAUCACUGAGUAGGCAAGUUCGCUGGCAGAAAAUUCUAGAACCUCAACCUCAUUUUUAUUGAGGACAUCCUGUGACAAUGCCAGGGAGUUAUACAAUGGUAUGCUAUUCAGUUUAAUAAAUUUAGCUAGCCUUUAAACAUUAAAUUAAACAUAUUGGAACUAAGGAGUUAUAAAAUACAACUUGUUCCUUGUGAAGGCUCUAGGGAAAAAUCUGUUUUCUUGCCUCUUCCAGCUUCUAAAAGCUGCCUUAUUCCCUGGCUUAGUGACCCCGCCCCCCAUCACUAUAACCUUGAUGACCAUUUCUUUUUUGAUUAUGACACUCCUAUCUCCAUCUUAGAAGGAUCUUCUGCCCCAUUUCUACAGAAUUCAAGAUAAUCUUCCCAUUAAAAAAUCCUUAACUAAUCACAUGCGCAAAGUCACUUGUACCAAGUAAGAUAACAUAUUCAUUUUUUUUUUUUUUUAAGACGAUGGGAGCAUUCUGUCUACCACACCUAUAAUUAAGUCCUUUUUAUAAAGAGGUAUCCAAUAAUACUCUCUAGACUCAGGGCACCCUCCAGAGCACAACCUCAAAUACAACCAGAAUGGUGGUGGAAUACGGCUGCCCUGCCCUGACUACUACUCUCCAAGUUGUGCUGAUUCUUCCAUAACUGGCAGGCAAUGGAGAUCCUAUAAUAUUUUUCUCCAAAGGCCUCUUCUAUUAUAUUUCCAUACUCCAGACCUAUCAUGCUACUCUUAGCUAAUCAGAGCUUCUGAUAUGCUUCAACUCAUUAUACUAAUUUAUCCAAACCAGAAGGAAAUAAACUCAUAUAAACUUUGUAUAACCAUUCUGAAGUAAACUGCAAUUUGUUAGGCCAAU
rnacentral:lncRNA from 1 species